CCCGGUAGUAGCGGACGGUCGCGCGGACCCGCUCGGGGUCCUCGAACUGCCGCAGGUAGACGGCCUGGUCCUCGGGCGGCAGGGU
rnacentral:tRNA from 1 species